CCGCCGUAAAGCAACAAGAAGAAGAAGAAGAAGAAGAGACGGUCCAGCCGCAAGGGGGCACUGUGCUUUUGCAGCUUUCUGCUAAUAUUAGUAGAACUAGAAAGAAACAUCCGGGUAUUGUUCCACCGCAAAAGAAACGAAUGAUAGAAGGAGGUUGUCGCAUUCUGCUGCUAACUACAGGGAUACAGCGAAUUACUUUCUUUAUUCGUUAACAUGGCGGCAAAUGACGCCAAACACCACGAGUCCCUGUCCGGAAAAUCGCUCACAGAUGAAGAUCGUCAGCGGAGCUCGAAGCAUUGCUCGCGGUCCAGAUCACGAUCAGUGGACCGAAAGCGCAAGUCAGGAGACAAGAGGCACAGACGAAGCCACAGCAGAAGCAAAGAGGUAACUAAUUUUAGUCCAUUGAUGUCAUGUAGACCAAAAUUAAACUGGUCACAUCAUCAGUAGUUUUACAGCUGGCAUUUCUAGUUUUAGUCCAGGGUAAGUAUGCAGCUUAGACAGAAGGAAUGAAAUGCCAGACUGAGAAGAAAAGCACUGAGAUGUAAUCACAAGUGCAUGUAAUCUUAAAUUGUAUUAAUAUGGAUUACAGAUGGAGAGAAAUGUCUGUUUGGGAGCUUUUUUAACGUCCUGUAUUUUAGAUCAUAUGAUAACAUUUCUAUAAUAAAUUAUACUCAGCGUGCUAAUACACGAAGAGACACUCUGAACAGAAGACGCUGCUGACAGAUAGCAAAAUUAUAUGCCUACUACCUGGACAGGUAACUAUCAGUCAUUUAAACUUAUUUGCCUAUUAAACGAUAUCUUUUUGUCUCACAACCCCAGUUACUGCCUUUUUUGUAAACACCAACAGAAUUGCAAUUAAAAAAAAUG
rnacentral:lncRNA from 1 species